UGAGUUCCAAAAAAAAAAUAAAAAAUCACUUCACUUUAAAUCCGAUUAGUGAGUGUGGGAUGGAGGUAAUGCAGUCUUAGAGGCUUCGGUCACGAAAGAAUACUUUUACCACGGCUCAAGAUGUAAAAGCAUGCAGGAGAAAAGAUCCGCACCGAAGUGAAGAAACUGUUUCCCAAGAAAAGAAAGAGUGAAGAUGUACAGUAAGCUGAUAGUGCCUGCUGUGCCCGGAAAGAGUUUCAAAGGCAUAUUGAUGUGAACAGAUUGUCGGCAAGCCUUCACGGGGCAGGGAUACGACCCGUGGAUAGAGUGCCUUCGUGGACCGGAUCUUAGGUAGCAGUAUGCUACUAUUAUUUUGGAGGAUUAUUAUUUUGCUUUAGUAUUCCAUUCAUUUUGAAGAUCAUGAUGUAUGAUCCGUUAUUUUGUAUAUGGCCUGUAUAUGUUUUGUACAUGUUUUCCGUUUCAAUGCAUGUACAUUUGUGUAUUCAGGCAUGUUUAUAUGAUGAUGUAGUAUUCAGAUAUACGUAGAUGUUAAUUUUGCAUGCUGUUGGACUUAAUGGCACAAAGCCAAUUUAUGCAUGCGCUCAUGGAUGAGUAUGUGAUCCUUAUGGAUAUCUGGUAUUCC